UGGGAAAUGUAGUUGGCUUCCCAGCCCACCC
rnacentral:piRNA from 1 species